rnacentral:rRNA from 1 species
GACGAACGCUGGCGGCGUGCCUAAUACAUGCAAGUAGAACGCUGAAGAGAGGAGCUUGCUCUUCUUGGAUGAGUUGCGAACGGGUGAGUAACGCGUAGGUAACCUGCCUUGUAGCGGGGGAUAACUAUUGGAAACGAUAGCUAAUACCGCAUAACAAUGGAUGACACAUGUCAUUUAUUUGAAAGGGGCAAUUGCUCCACUACAAGAUGGACCUGCGUUGUAUUAGCUAGUAGGUGAGGUAAUGGCUCACCUAGGCGACGAUACAUAGCCGACCUGAGAGGGUGAUCGGCCACACUGGGACUGAGACACGGCCCAGACUCCUACGGGAGGCAGCAGUAUGGAAUCUUCGGCAAUGGGGGCAACCCUGACCGAGCAACGCCGCGUGAGUGAAGAAGGUUUUCGGAUCGUAAAGCUCUGUUGUAAGUCAAGAACGGGUGUGAGAGUGGAAAGUUCACACUGUGACGGUAGCUUACCAGAAAGGGACGGCUAACUACGUG